rnacentral:rRNA from 1 species
GUGCCAGCAGCCGCGGUAAUACGAAGGGGGCUAGCGUUGCUCGGAAUGACUGGGCGUAAAGGGCGCGUAGGCGGAUGUUACAGUCAGGCGUGAAAUUCCUGGGCUCAACCUGGGGGCUGCGUUUGAUACGUGAUGUCUGGAGUUCGGAAGAGGGUCGUGGAAUUCCCAGUGUAGAGGUGAAAUUCGUAGAUAUUGGGAAGAACACCGGUGGCGAAGGCGGCGACCUGGUCCUGGACUGACGCUGAGGCGCGAAAGCGUGGGGAGCAAACAGGAUUAGAAACCCGCGUAGUCC